rnacentral:rRNA from 1 species
AUUGAACGCUGGCGGCAGGCCUAACACAUGCAAGUCGAACGAGUGGCGGACGGGUGAGUAAUGUCUGGGAAACUGCCUGAUGGAGUGGUAUAACUACUGAAAACGGUAGCUAAUACCGCAUACCAUCAGAUGUGCCCAGAUGGGAUUAGCUUGUAUGUGGGGUAACGGCUCACCAAGGCGACGAUCCCUAGCUGGUCUGAGAGGAUGACCAGCCACACCGGAAAUGAUACACGGGCGUGACUCCUAAGGGAGGCAGUAGUGGGGAAUAUUGCACAAUGGGCGAAAGCCUGAUGUAGCCAUGCCGCGUGUAUGAAGAAGACCUUCGGGUUGUAAAGUACUUUCAUCGGGGAGGCGGUACCCGCAGAAGAAGCACCGGCUAACUCCGUACCUGCAGCCGCGAUAAUAC